rnacentral:lncRNA from 7 species
ACUUCAGCGUGAUCUGCUGCUGAAACGCGGCUACCUCGAGGGAAGGCUGCGGUAUCCAUCUGGGAGCUCUCAGCAGUGCCACAUGGGUGAACCCAACCAAGCAUGUCGGCACAGCACUGUGCGGUGUCACCUGGCUGGGGAAUGGGACCGUUUGCCAAAGGCAUCAUGAAUAUGCGCUAAAGCAACACUUUGAGAACUGAGAAGGGCACGGUCUGAGCCUCCCCUCAACCCCACACCUCCCAACGCUGCCGUAAAAUCUGUGCUGAAAAAGGACCAGCAAAUACCAGCUCCUCCUCCUCCUCCUCGUCCCAUCGCUCCCUCUUUGGGCACAGCGAUUCCGGCUCCGUCCCCUCACCUGAGGGCUGUGCUGAGCGUCCCCACCUGCAGUGGCUGCUCGUCCCAUCCCGGUGCUGCCAUCCCAUCUCCUGCAGGACAGACCCUGUGCCAAGCGUAGGGCGCAGCAUCUGUCCUCAUCCAGGAGCACUGUGGAGCCGUGGCUACGGAGCCGUGCCUUUCGGUCACCAGCUGGUGCCUUUGUGUUGCCCAUACGUGUUCAGUGAUGCAGGAGGAGAUCUUUGGGAUGCUGUGGGGUUGGUCUGAUGUCGGGCAUGAGCCUCGCUGGGUUCCUCCCUCGUUAUCCAUCUCUUUAAGCAUCUGAGACCCUCAGUGCCUCAGUUUCCCCACACAUAUCUGUAACAGUGGGCACAGCUCCCUGAGCCGCCCAUAGGCUCUGUGCUCCGGUCCCCAUCUCACAGGACACAGUGCUGGGCCACGAUGCCAAUCUCUGCAGUCCCAACCUCCACACACCCAGAAGGCAUUGAGGAGCUCUGCGGCAUCCCCCACCUGUGUGCCUUGUCCCAGCUUGGGGUCAGUGCCAGUGGGUGCUCAGAGCCCACCCUGAGCCCCAUCCCUGUGCUGGUGGGGCAUUUCCACGUCCUUCUGGUGAACCAGCUCAUGACUCCCAUGGUUAAUGUUUGCCUUAACCCCUCUUUCCACACAUUGAUUUGUAUUUGCAUCAUGCCCUGGCCACGGUGCUCAGGAACGCAGGGUGCUUGCAGGGCUCCCCCCACGAGCAGCAGUGUCCCCCAGCCAUGGCUAAGGUCAUUCUUCAUGGGUUUCCCAGCAGCACUGGGGCCUCCAUCCUUUCUCUCCCAUUUAAUCCCAUGAAUUAAACACCGCCUUCACCG